AACUUUCAACAACGGAUCUAUUGGUUCUGGCAUCGAUGAAGAACGCAGCGAAUUGCGAUAAGUAAUGCGAAUUGCAGAAUUCUCGUGAGUCAUCGAAUCUUUGAACGCACAUUGCGCCCUUUGGUAUUCCGAAGGGCAUGCCUGUUCGAGCGUCAUUUU
rnacentral:rRNA from 1 species